ACAUUAGAUCUAAUAGAAUUAUUUAAUAAAAAGCCUUACAACCUAAAUAGGUAUGAUUCAUUUGUUGCAAUCCAAAUUAAUGUACCAACUAAGCCUAUGCCUAUGCACUAUACACUAAGUUAAGUGGUGUAUCUCAUCCCUAUGCCCCUACCUCAACAUGAGAUGUACCUUGUUUCAGGUAACUAUGCACAUUCUCAUGGAAACUCAUGUAGAUGUGGAUACAUCUACAUAG
rnacentral:misc_RNA from 1 species